AUCAACUUUCGAUUGGUAGGAUAGAGGCCUACCAUGGUGGUAACGGGUAACGGGGAAUUAGGGUUCGAUUCCGGAGAGGGAGCCUGAGAAACGGCUACCACAUCCAAGGAAGGCAGCAGGCGCGCAAAUUACCCAAUCCCGACACGGGGAGGUAGUGACAAUAAAUAACAAUACGGGGCUCUUUCGGGUCUCGUAAUUGGAAUGAGUACAAUUUAAAUCCCUUAACGAGGAACAAUUGGAGGGCAAGUCUGGUGCCAGCAGCCGCGGUAAUUCCAGCUCCAAUAGCGUAUAUUAAAGUUGUUGCAGUUAAAAAGCUCGUAGUUGAAUUUCGGGAUUGACACAUCGGUCGUGCCUUAAGGGGUAUGAACUGGUGUAGUCAAUUUCUCACCUUCUGGAGAACUGCGAUGCCCUUAAUUGGGUGUCGCGGGGAACCAGGACCUUUACUUUGAAAAAAUUAGAGUGUUUAAAGCAGGCAUUUUGCUUGAAUACAUUAGCAUGGAAUAAUAAAAUAGGACGGCAUGAUUCUAUUUUGUUGGUUUCUAGGAUCACCGUAAUGAUUAAUAGGGAUAGUUGGGGGCAUUAGUAUUCAAUUGUCAGAGGUGAAAUUCUUGGAUUUAUUGAAGACUAACUACUGCGAAAGCAUUUGCCAAGGAUGUUUUCAUUAAUCAAGAACGAAAGUUANGGGAUCGAAGACGAUCAGAUACCGUCGUAGUCUUAACCAUAAACUAUGCCGACUAGGAAUCAGACNAUGUUAAUUUUUUUAAUGACUCGUUUGGCACCUUACGGAAAACCAAAGUGUUUGGGUUC
rnacentral:rRNA from 1 species